ensembl:lncRNA
AGCAGCCAGCACCAUGGAACAAGGACUACUGCUCCCUCGUGGACUAGGGCAGAGAUGGUGUCAUGCUGACUUCUGUCCUUCUUCCAAGAAUACCUCUCACAGAAACCACCUGCAAACAGAAGCCUCAUCUCUUAUACCAGCUGUUACCUUUUCUACCAUUAAAAAUUACCAUUCAGGACUAGACUGAAGACCUUACUCCAUUCCUCCCUAACUACAGGACUGCUUUCUAGGGAUCUCGUAACAGGAAGGAAUCAUCUCUACUCCUCAAUUCCACAGGGAGCAGAUGUCCAACCAGGAGUUCAUAGAGAAACAAGCGCUACAGUCCUGAACUCCUUAAUGAUUAGAAGACCGGGAAAGUCAUUGAACACCUUGGGACUUUAUUUUGUCCAUCUGUAAUUGGCAAAAUGCACUCCACGUCUACUUUGUAGCUCCUCUCCUCAGAGAGAGGGUAAUCAAAGAAAAUGAAAUGUGAAGGAGACGGACGCGUAUCCUGCUAGCGAGUGGAGUACCCGGGAGAAAAUAAACAGGCUCUCAAGUGCCAGGCUGAAUGUAUCAAAGGACAAGUGAAGUAUCACAGAGAGAAAUGAAGUGAAAGAGGAACUGAGAUAUGUUAAGUCUCUGAAAUUGACAGAAAGAGACAGAACAAUCUUGUCGGGGAACCUGUUGAAGAUCCAGGAGUUGAGAAAUAUGUUUAGAGAUUCUCAGGGCCAAAAAUGUGCUCAGAAGUCAAAUACGGGAAAGAAACUUAGAUGACUUCAAAGAUGAACUCCUUUGUGACAGUUUUCAGGCCCCAGGAAGAGUGAGUUGCUGCUGCCUCAGUGCCCACAGGCUCUCAAAGUGCCUCUUCCUGCCUGGACCACAGUACCCAGCACACUGGUGAUGAACGCCUGACCCCAGGUCUACUCCUCCACCAGAAGGUCUGGAGACACGGAAGAGUCUCCAGAGCAGAGGCCAGGGCUAAUCUGUCUUCAUACUCACAGUACGUGGCACAUUGGAGCUGUUCAAUGCAUGCCUUUUAAAUUGCUGAGAGAAAUUUCGGGAGUGACCUCCUCGAAUAGCCAAGGCUAAGAGAGCCAAGAAAAGAGUAUGCGGUCUCCCAAACAGGCAAGGCUGGGAGAGGAAAGGCAGCUCAGGGGUUGAUGGCUGUGUUUGGGGAAAGGUUUUCGGUGAGGGAAAAUGGGGCAGGCAGUAUUUCACACUGGGCAUUCCUGGGAAUUAUCUAGACCAUGAGAUCAUGGCUUUCAAGGAAGGUAACAAUAACUAAAAGGAAAAAAAGAGGGAAUCUAAAAAAAGAGGAAAGACCAAAGUCAGAGAAUCUCUGACCAAACUUCUGCCUUGAAGGUUGGCAGGCAGCAGGAACAUCACUCAAAGUCUGGCAAAGAUGUGCUAGAAGGGAAGCGUUGAUCCAUUUUUUUCCAUGGCUCAGGUGAGGUAGCAGCUGCCACCCAAACAGUAUCAUCUGAGAGAAAAUACCUGUCUCAAGCAUCCCUUUCUCCCGGAACAUGGUCACUGCUCUCUUCUUUAUGUCAAAGCAUGCAUAUUAUAUUGGUCCAUUCUCAUGCUGCUAAUAAAGACACACCUGAGACUGUGUAAUUUAUAAAGAAAAGAGGUUUAACUGGCUCACAGUUC